AACGAACGCUGGCGGCAGGCCUAACACAUGCAAGUCGAGCGGACCCUUCGGGGUUAGUGGCGGACGGGUGAGUAACGCGUGGGAAUAUGCCCUUCUCUACGGAAUAGUCCUGGGAAACUGGGGGUAAUACCGUAUACGCCCUUUGGGGGAAAGAUUUAUCGGGGGAGGAUUAGCCCGCGUUGGAUUAGGUAGUUGGUGGGGUAAUGGCCUACCAAGCCGACGAUCCAUAGCUGGUUUGAGAGGAUGAUCAGCCACACUGGGACUGAGACACGGCCCAGACUCCUACGGGAGGCAGCAGUGGGGAAUCUUAGACAAUGGGGGCAACCCUGAUCUAGCCAUGCCGCGUGAGUGAUGAAGGCCUUAGGGUUGUAAAGCCCUUUCAGCUGGGAUGAUAAUGACGGUACCAGCAGAAGAAGCCCCGGCUAACUCCGUG
rnacentral:rRNA from 1 species